GACGAACGCUGGCGGCGUGCUUAACACAUGCAAGUCGAACGGAAAGGCCCUGCUUGCAGGGUGCUCGAGUGGCGAACGGGUGAGUAACACGUGGGUGAUCUGCCCCUUACUUUGGGAUAAGCCUGGGAAACUGGGUCUAAUACUGGAUAGGACCAUGCUGUAGGUGGUGUGGUGGAAAGAUUAGUUUCGGUAAGGGAUGAGCUCGCGGCCUAUCAGCUUGUUGGUGGGGUAAUGGCCUACCAAGGCGUCGACGGGUAGCCGGCCUGAGAGGGUGGACGGCCACAUUGGGACUGAGACACGGCCCAGACUCCUACGGGCGGCAGCAGUGGGGAAUAUUGCACAAUGGGCGCAAGCCUGAUGCAGCGACGCCGCGUGGGGGAUGACGGCCUUCGGGUUGUAAACUCCUUUCAGCCAUGACGAAGCCCUUGUGGUGACGGUAGUGGUAGAAGAAGCACCGGCUAACUACGUG
rnacentral:rRNA from 1 species